rnacentral:rRNA from 1 species
UUUCGCCUGUGACGAAGCGUGAGUGACGGUAAUGGGUAAAGAAGCACCGGCUAACUACGUGCCAGCAGCCGCGGUGAUACGUAGGGUGCGAGCGUUGUCCGGAUUUAUUGGGCGUAAAGGGCUCGUAGGUGGUUGAUCGCGUCGGAAGUGUAAUCUUGGGGCUUAACCCUGAGCGUGCUUUCGAUACGGGUUGACUUGAGGAAGGUAGGGGAGAAUGGAAUUCCUGGUGGAGCGGUGGAAUGCGCAGAUAUCAGGAGGAACACCAGUGGCGAAGGCGGUUCUCUGGGCCUUUCCUGACGCUGAGGAGCGAAAGCGUGGGGAGCGAACAGGCUUAGAUACCCUGGUAGUCCACGCUGUAAACGGUGGGUACUAGGUGUGGGGUCCAUUCCACGGGUUCCGCGCCGUAGCUAACGCUUUAAGUACCCCGCCUGGGGAGUACGGCCGCAAGGCUAAAACUCAAAGG